rnacentral:lncRNA from 1 species
CUACCCAAUCAAACUUGGAUUCUUUGUCUAAUUUUAAUUAUUACAUAAGUUUCACAAUCAAAAGUAUACAAAUACCGUACGUGGAUAUGUACACAAAGGUACAUGCACACUGUACAAAUACUUAGACGUAGGUGUACGUAGUGGCAUGUGCCUAGUCUACCUACUUCUACCACAAAUGUCUUUUUGUCGGGAAGACAAGUUAUUUAUCCACGAGAAG